GAUGUCAAAUAUCGACGUCAUCAACAGUAAACGUGAUGGUGUUUAUAAGGUCGUAUAUCAACGUCAUAAACAGCAAAUUUGAUGGUGUUUAUUACGUCGUAUAUCGACGUCAUAAACACCAAACUUGAUGGUGUUUAUGACGUCGUAUAUCGACGUCAUAAACACCAAACUUGAUGGUGUUUAUGACGUCGAAUAUCGACGUC